rnacentral:rRNA from 1 species
CACGAGAGAGCUUGCUCUCUUGGUGGCGAGUGGCGGACGGGUGAGUAAUAUAUCGGAACGUGCCCAGUAGCGGGGGAUAACUACUCGAAAGAGUGGCUAAUACCGCAUACGCCCUACGGGGGAAAGGGGGGGAUCGCAAGACCUCUCACUAUUGGAGCGGCCGAUAUCGGAUUAGCUAGUUGGUGGGGUAAAGGCUCACCAAGGCAACGAUCCGUAGCUGGUUUGAGAGGACGACCAGCCACACUGGGACUGAGACACGGCCCAGACUCCUACGGGAGGCAGCAGUGGGGAAUUUUGGACAAUGGGGGAAACCCUGAUCCAGCCAUCCCGCGUGUAUGAUGAAGGCCUUCGGGUUGUAAAGUACUUUUGGCAGAGAAGAAAAGGCAUCCCCUAAUACGGGAUGCUGCUGACGGUAUCUGCAGAAUAAGCACCGGCUAACUACGUGCCAGCAGCCGCGGUAAUACGUAGGGUGCAAGCGUUAAUCGGAAUUACUGGGCGUAAAGCGUGUGUAGGCGGUUCGGAAAGAAAGAUGUGAAAUCCCAGGGCUCAACCUUGGAACUGCAUUUUUAACUGCCGAGCUAGAGUAUGUCAGAGGGGGGUAGAAUUCCACGUGUAGCAGUGAAAUGCGUAGAUAUGUGGAGGAAUACCGAUGGCGAAGGCAGCCCCCUGGGAUAAUACUGACGCUCAGACACGAAAGCGUGGGGAGCAAACAGGAUUAGAUACCCUGGUAGUCCACGCCCUAAACGAUGUCAACUAGCUGUUGGGGCCGUUAGGCCUUAGUAGCGCAGCUAACGCGUGAAGUUGACCGCCUGGGGAGUACGGUCGCAAGAUUAAAACUCAAAGGAAUUGACGGGGACCCGCACAAGCGGUGGAUGAUGUGGAUUAAUUCGAUGCACGCGAAAACCUUACCUACCCUUGACAUGUCUGGAAUGCC